ACUGCCUCACAGUCAACCCUCUCUAUCUAACUUCCUCGUCUGCUCCUGAACCAGUGAACUAUACUUACUGCGUAGAUGAGUAGAUUGUCAAUGAAGAAAGCUGACUCAAUGGAAAUGAUUGGGAACUUUUCUGGAAAGAGUCCCCAAGACUUCAACCUUUCCAGUGGCAUGGAGUACCUGGGUGGCAUCUGGGCAACUUCAUCCAUGAAAGGCCUUUGGCAUAUUGGACGCUGGUUUGGAAUGGAGAGAACUCAGCUGAAGGCUUCAGGCAGAGCGUAUCUGCAUCAGCGCAAACGUACGUAAAGCAACAAGAUAAAGGCCAAUGGCCAAAAUAUCAACGGCAUCAGCCAAAAUAUCAACGGCAUCAGCCAGAAUGUAACAGCAGAAUGCAACCGCAUCGGCCAGAAUGCAGCGGCCAAACUAGAGGAUGAUGUUCAGCAUCCUUCUACAAUAGAAGCGCCAUAGCUGCUGACCAAUCAACAGCAAAACAUGCACAUGUGCACACAUGUGCAGAAGAGGAGGAGAAUGAGAUCAGGACAAACUUUGACAUCUCAAAAGACCG